GAAUUAGCGGCACCUUGACAUGCGCUCUUACGAAGGCUUCGGGCUUAGUGGCGCACGGGUGCGUAACGCGUGGGAAUCUGCCCUUGGGUUCGGAAUAACAGUUAGAAAUGACUGCUAAUACCGAAUGAUGUCGUAAGACCAAAGAUUUAUCGCCCAGGGAUGAGCCCGCGUAGGAUUAGCUAGUUGGUGUGGUAAAGGCGCACCAAGGCGACGAUCCUUAGCUGGUCUGAGAGGAUGAUCAGCCACACUGGGACUGAGACACGGCCCAGACUCCUACGGGAGGCAGCAGUGGGGAAUAUUGGACAAUGGGCGAAAGCCUGAUCCAGCAAUGCCGCGUGAGUGAUGAAGGCCUUAGGGUUGUAAAGCUCUUUUACCCGGGAUGAUAAUGACAGUACCGGGAGAAUAAGCUCCGGCUAACUCCGUGCCAGCAGCCGCGGUAAUACGGAGGGAGCUAGCGUUAUUCGGAAUUACUGGGCGUAAAGCGCACGUAGGCGGCUUUGUAAGUUAGAGGUGAAAGCCUGGAGCUCAACUCCAGAACUGCCUUUAAGACUGCAUCGCUUGAAUCCAGGAGAGGUGAGUGGAAUUCCGAGUGUAGAGGUGAAAUUCGUAGAUAUUCGGAAGAACACCAGUGGCGAAGGCGGCUCACUGGA
rnacentral:rRNA from 1 species